rnacentral:rRNA from 1 species
AAGGUAGCGUAAUCACUUGUUCUUUAAAUAAGGACUGGUAUGAAUGGCACCACGAGGGUUACACUGUCUCCUCUUUCUAAUCAGUGAAACUAAUCUCCCCGUGAAGAAGCUGGGAUUUUUUUAUAAUGACGAGAAGACCCUAUGGAGCUUUAAACUACUAACACUUGCUGCCAUUCACUCCCCCUUCCAGAAACUUUUUAUUAAGCAUACUUUCAUGAUUAAUAGUUUUCGAUUGGGGUGAUCGCGGAGUAAAAAACAACCUCCAUGCCAAAAGGGCUUCCUCCCCUGAGCCAAAAGCUACAACUUAUAGCACUAAAAAAUUAACGUUUAUUGACCCAAUAAUUUUGAUCAACGAACCAAGUUACCCUAGGGAUAACAGCGCAAUCCACUUCAAGAGCUCCUAUCGACAAGUGGGUUUACGACCUCGAUGUUGGAUCAGGGUAUCCCAGUGGUGCAGCCGCUACUAACGGUUCGUUUGUUCAACGAUUAAAACCCU